CCGUGUUUAGCGCAGUCUGGUAGCGCAUCUGCUUUGGGAGCAGAGGGUCGCAGGUUCGAGUCCUGCAACACGGACCA
rnacentral:tRNA from 1 species